ensembl:lncRNA
AUAAAAAGCAAGGGGAGAAAAUGGGAAGAACCAGACUAAGAAACCUCUUGGGAUGAGUUAAACAUGGGAAAAUUGCUCACUGGUUACUAUCACAGACAGAACAAACUCAAACUUAACUAUCUUAAGGCUGUUUUAUUCCUUUGCUCCAAACUACCAGCUUCCCACACCAAGUGGUGCAGCAGCAGUGUACUGUGUACAAGGAGCUAGGAGGGGAUGUAACCAGGACAGCUGGCCCAAACUGGUCAAAGAGAUAUCCAAUACCGCACGCAUUGUGUUCAGCAAUAAAAGCUGGGACAAGGAAAGAGGAAGGGAUGAACUGUUGGAGUUGAUGGCAUUUGUCUUCACAGCAGUGCUAUGGACAGUGGGAUUGAGUGCACCCUCAGCAAGUUUGUGAAUGACACCAAGCUGUGUGGUGUUGUCAACAUGCCUGAGGGACAGAAUGCCAUCCAGAGAGAUCCAGACAGGCUUGAGCGGUGGGCCCAAGUAAGCCUCAUGAGAUUCAACAAAUCCGAAUGCAAGGUCUUGCACCUGGAUUGUGGCGACACCCACUACCGUACAAGGAGCUGGGACCAUCCCUUAAAGCUUAUAGGAAGAUGGAGCUAUUCUUCCUGCUGGGACUAUUCUCAAGAUGAGCCCUCUAGAACUCAUCACAGCAGGAUUUGAUGAACAAUGUGGUAAAAGCAACUGUAAAAUCUAAGGCUUUUAGUCAAGUAGUUUUUGAUGUUGGUAGACCUGAAGUACUUAGCCUUCAAUCUUCAGGCUGGCCUUGUGCUUGUGAAAUUACUCAAAACAUAAUUUGUCUUAACUUUUAGGAAAAAGACUUGUUCUUACCUAAUCCUUAUUAGAAAAUAUUUAUCAUGAGUGAAAUUGUCAUAGAGAAGAAAAAGCCAAAUGGUAAUUCUUAAUAAAAUGAAUGUAUGAAAACAGUUCAGUCAAUCUUUGCUGUAAGUUGGAGUGUGCUGUAAAGGGAAGGUGGCCUCUGGCAGGAGCUGUCUUUCAUCAGAACUUUAUGCACAUUUGAGAUUUUCAGCAUUUCAUCAGUGGGAAUCCUUAGGAGGCACUGAGCAAGAAGAUACAGGAAGAUCUAUUUUGAUUUCCCUAGGAAAAAUGCUGCUUUUGGAAGCCAAUUACCAAGGCCUCCAAUAUAUGUGGUGCUCUUCAUGACUCCAGACUGCCAGGAGACAGCCUAUAUUUGCAGCUCUGCAGCUAUGGGGAGGAACACUUUCCCAGCAUCUCUCUUGAAUGUAAAGGAGAUGAUCAUAAUUUAAGUUGCAUAAAUGGACAGCUGAAGUUAUUGCUAUUAUUUCAGCUAAUUUCUUCCAGUGACUUGGAAUAAAAACUUCUUCCUCUUAACUGGAAGAAACAUGAAUGGAAAUUAUGCUUAUUCCUUUGUGGUAACGGCUACAGAGGCCCUUCAAGAAGCAGCAGGAGUAGGAAUAAAAGAGAUUUUAUAAUAAAUACCCUGACUGCAAAACAAAUGUUUGCACCAUUCGGCUCUUAACACUAUGAACUCAGAUUUGCUAGAAAUGACUGGCAGUUUCUGUUAAAGACACUGCUUUUACCAGAUACUUUUUUGAGGACUGAUCUAUUACAAGUAAUUCUUUACCAAUGAAUUACCUGUGGUCUUUAUCAGUGAAAAAUACCAAGACUUAGAGUCUACAUAUACUGCACAUGCAUCUGUGUCAUCAACAAACUGUUCUGGAGGUAUGCAUCAAUGUAUAAAAUGUAAGAGUAGAUGUUAUUUGAAUAAAAGGGACCACUCUAU